rnacentral:lncRNA from 1 species
CGUGCGGUGCUCCCGUGCAAUGCAUCGUGCGGUGCUCCCGUGCAUGCUCCCAUGCAAUGCUCCCAUACGGUGCUCCCGUGCAAUGCUCCCGUGCAGUGCUCCCGUGCAGUGCUCCCGUGCACUGCAUCGUGUGGUGCGGCGUGCAGUGCUCCCGUGCAAUGCUCCCAUGCAAUGCUCCCGUGCAAUGAUCCCGUGCAAUGCUCCCGUGCAAUGCUCCCGUGCACUGUAUCGUGUGGUGCUCCUGUGCAAUGCAUCGUGUGGUGCUCCUGUGCAGUGCUCCCGUGCAAUGCUCUCGUGCACUGCAUUGAGUGGUGCGGCGUGCGGUGCUCCCGUGCAAUGCAGCGUGCAACACGGCACGCAACGCACUGUGCAUUGUGCAAAGCAUCGUGUAAUGCAUCCUGCAAUGCCCCCGUGCAACACAUCUUGCGACGCCCGUGUGCAACGCACAGUGCAAUGCCCUUGUGCAAGGUGCUGUGCAACACCCCCACGUGCCCCCCGUGCAAGCUCUGACACAAACCACGCAAAGUCCACGUGCAAAUGCUUCGGCUGUGCAACACCCCCCCACCCCCAAACCCUGCUGUGAAUCUGCAACGCCCUGGUGCAAACCCCUCGUGCGACCACACACACACACACACCCCCGGCCCUUGCACGAGCCCCCCCCCCCCUCGUGCAACGCACCGGCGUCGGGGGGCAGGUAGAAGGCGCCGACGGCGAGCAGCGUGAUGAGCACGCAGGGCACGAGGACGUUGACGAUGUAGAAGAGCGGCUUGCGGCGGAUCACCAGGUAGAAGGUGACGUCCUCGUGCGAGCCGGCGGCGUGGUGGCGGCCGUGCCGGUGGCACAGCUCCCACUGCCCGUUCUCUGCACGGCGCCGCCAAGCGUGAGGCCCCGUGCAAAGCCCCCCG